rnacentral:rRNA from 1 species
UACGGAGGGGGUUAGCGUUGUUCGGAAUGACUGGGCGUAAAGCGCGCGUAGGCGGAUCAGGAAGUUGGGGGUGAAAUCCCGGGGCUCAACCCCGGAAUGGCCUUCAAAACUCCUGGUCUUGAGUUCGAGAGAGGUGAGUGGAAUUCCGAGUGUAGAGGUGAAAUUCGUAGAUAUUCGGAGGAACACCAGUGGCGAAGGCGGCUCACUGGCUCGACACUGACGCUGAGGUGCGAAAGCGUGGGGAGCGAACAGG